AGUGAACGCUGGCGGUAGGCCUAACACAUGCAAGUCGAACGGCAGCAUAGUAAGAGCUUGCUCUUACGGGUGGCGAGUGGCGGACGGGUGAGGAAUACAUCGGAAUCUACUUUUUCGUGGGGGAUAACGUAGGGAAACUUACGCUAAUACCGCAUACGACCUACGGGUGAAAGCAGGGGAUCUUCGGACCUUGCGCGAUUGAAUGAGCCGAUGUCGGAUUAGCUAGUUGGCGGGGUAAAGGCCCACCAAGGCGACGAUCCGUAGCUGGUCUGAGAGGAUGAUCAGCCACACUGGAACUGAGACACGGUCCAGACUCCUACGGGAGGCAGCAGUGGGGAAUAUUGGACAAUGGGCGCAAGCCUGAUCCAGCCAUACCGCGUGGGUGAAGAAGGCCUUCGGGUUGUAAAGCCCUUUUGCUGGGAAAGAAAAGCAGCAGGUUAAUACCCCGCUGUUCUGACGGUACCCAAAGAAUAAGCACCGGCUAACUUCGUG
rnacentral:rRNA from 1 species